GACGUAGGGGACGAGCGUUGUCCGGAUUUAUUGGGCGUAAAGCGCGCGUAGGUGGCUUCGUAAGUCCGUUGUGAAAGUCAAAGGCUCAACCUUUGAAUGCCGAUGGAUACUGCGAAGCUAGAGUACGGAAGAGGCGAGUGGAAUUCCUGGUGUAGCGGUGGAAUGACGCAGAUAUCAGGAGGAACACCAAUAGCGAAGGCAGCUCGCUGGGACGGUACUGACGCUGAGACGCGAAAGCGUGGGGAGCAAACAGG
rnacentral:rRNA from 1 species